GCCUGGGUUGGCUCAAUCGGUUAAGCCUCCGACUUUGGCUCAGGUCAGGAUCUGGCGGUUUGUGGGUUCAAGUCCCACAUCAGGCU
rnacentral:tRNA from 1 species